rnacentral:rRNA from 1 species
AACGAACGGAGGAGAGCUUGCUCUCCAAUGUUAGUGGCGGACGGGUGUGUAACACGUGAGCAACCUACCCAACGGCGGGGGAUAGCCGGCCUAACGGCCGGGUAAUGCCGCGUAACGCUUUGGUGCCGCAUGGCACCGUAGUGAAAGCGGCCUUCGGGUCGCACCGAUGGAGGGGCUCGCGGCCUAUCAGCUUGUUGGUGGGGUAACGGCCUACCAAGGCAACGACGGGUAGCUGGUCUGAGAGGAUGACCAGUCACAUUGGGACUGAGAUACGGCCCAGACUCCUACGGGAGGCAGCAGUGGGGAAUAUUGCGCAAUGGCCGCAAGGCUGACGCAGCGACGCCGCGUGUGGGAUGACGGCCUUCGGGUUGUAAACCACUGUCAGGGGGGACGAAUACUCGGCUGCGAAUAGCAGACCGAGGGUGACGGUACCCCCAAAGGAAGCACCGGCUAACUCCGUGCCAGCAGCCGCGGUAAGACGGAGGGUGCAAGCGUUGUCCGGAAUCACUGGGCGUAAAGCGCGCGUAGGCGGUUGUCUAAGUCAUCUGUGAAAGCCCGGG